rnacentral:rRNA from 1 species
UACGAGGGGGGCGAGCGUUGUUCGGAAUUAUUGGGCGUAAAGGGUGCGUAGGCGGUUUGGUAAGUCUUAUGUGAAAUCUACAGGCUCAACUUGUAGUCUGCAUGAGAAACUGCCGGGCUUGAGUAUGGGAGAGGUGAGUGGAAUUCCUGGUGUAGCGGUGAAAUGCGUAGAUAUCAGGAGGAACACCUGUGGCGAAAGCGGCUCACUGGACCAUAACUGACGCUGAGACGCGAAAGCGUGGGGAGCAAACAGG